GAUGAACGCUGGCGGCGUGCCUAAUACAUGCAAGUCGAGCGAACUGAUUAGAAGCUUGCUUCUAUGAUGUUAGCGGCGGACGGGUGAGUAACACGUGGGCAACCUGCCUGUAAGACUGGGAUAACUUCGGGAAACCGAAGCUAAUACCGGAUAGGAUCUUCUCCUUCAUGGGAGAGGAUUGAAUGAGGUUUUGGGCUAUCCCUUACAGAUGGGCCCGCGGUGCAUUAGCUAGUUGGUGAGGUAACGGCUCACCAAGGCAACGAUGCAUAGCCGACCUGAGAGGGUGAUCGGCCACACUGGGACUGAGACACGGCCCAGACUCCUACGGGAGGCAGCAGUAGGGAAUCUUCCGCAAUGGACGAAAGUCUGACGGAGCAACGCCGCGUGAGUGAUGAAGGCUUUCGGGUCGUAAAACUCUGUUGUUAGGGAAGAACAAGUACGAGAGUAACUGCUCGUACCUUGACGGUACCUAACCAGAAAGCCACGGCUAACUACGUGCCAGCAGCCGCGGUAACAC
rnacentral:rRNA from 1 species